rnacentral:lncRNA from 1 species
CCCCCUUUGUGCGAAACCCUCCUCCCACGCCAACCAUUCCCACUUUUUCCCUCUUGCUGGCUUCCACUUUGCUUUUUCCCCUUCACCUUUUUAGUUUUGACCGAUCAAACACUCUUAUCUCUCCUGCUCUCACUAUCUCUCUCGUAACCCACCUUCUCCCUCUUUUCUCUCUUGCUCGUGCGAAGUAGAAGCCGAACCGAAGACGGCAAAAACACAGUAGCUCACCGAAGACUGGACCAGUUGCCCGUCGCCGCCGCACUGAAGCCGGACCGCCCGUGCACCCGCCGCUCGCCGUUGUCCCGCCGUUCACGCACGCCCCUCACACCCAGGCGUCUUCCCCGUGCGAUUCCAGCAGCUGUCCAGCUCGAUCCAGCGCCUCCAGCCUCUGCUCGCCGCCGUCCCGACCUCCCCGGCGUCCCCCUCACCCUCCGCCGGCCUCCCUUUGCCGCCCUAGCCACCGGACCAGCCUCGGCCAGGCUAAAUCCGCAACCCAUGGAGUGGGUAUCCAGCCCCCUUCGGGCUCGUUUUGGGCCAUUUCCGAGCCCUGAACCCGAGCCGUGCUUUGGGAAAUAUUGUUCCUCGCGUCACCCCCGUCGGAUUGAUCCGAUUUGCGCGCGAUUCCGGUGAGUAAUCUCACUAAUCCUUGCUUAGUGAGCUAAUGACACUUAUUGGUUGUUUAGUUUUAUUUAAUUAGGUUUAGAUUGUUAGAUUAAUGUUUAUUAGUCAAUUGUGAUGCAAAUUAGACAAAUUGAAUGUGUAUUUAGCAAGUAGACGUGGUCUACUAUUUAUUGAUGGUAGCCCGAGAUUUUUCCCGACCCUAAUCGGGCUUCAAUUUGAUAAUUUGGGCCUAAGUGGAAUUUUUGUCAUUUAAUUAUUAUUUUUCAGAAUUACUUAAUUAAUUAAUUAUUUUCCGAAAAUUCAACAGUGAUGGCCAGUGACCGGAAUAUUAUGCUGAUGACCGUGGCGAAGUCCGUUUAUUUAAUCGAGCUUUAUUUUGAGCUAAAUUGAAAUUUUAAUAUUAAUUAUUUAAUUUUCGAAAUUAUUUAUUUAUUUAUUUAUUUAUUUAUUUAUUUUGUUUUUCGGAAAUUAAGGUUGAGAUGGCCAACGACCGAAAUCUCGUGCUGAUUGUCGUGGCGCAAUCCGUUUAUUUAUUUGAGCUCUACAUUGCAUGGAAUUAAAUAAAUUGUGAUAUUUUAGGGAUUUACCUUAAAUUGAUUGGAAUUGAUUGAGAUUGAAUUAUUGAUUGGUGAAUGGCCAAGUGUGUUUAUUCAGCAUUUAUGAUGCUUUGUUGAGUUGUAAAGUGAGUGGAAUGGUGAGAGUAAAUCAGAAGUACUUUGGGCUUGAACUGAUCAGACACGGUGUAUGGGCCUACGUGGUUCGGUGACUAAGGAUGUCACUGGCAAAAACGGCGCCUUAAAGAAUGCAUGUACCGGUCUAGUACAUAUCCCAUCAUGGACAUACGUGGUUUGGUGAUUUGGGAUAUUACUGGUGAAAACGACACCUUAAAGAACGCAUGUAGCUGUCUAUUGAAUACAUGAUUAUAGGCAUGUGUGGUUCGGUGAUUAAGGACAUCGCUGGCGAAAACGACGCCUUAAAGAACGCACGCAAUUGUCUAUUGAAUAAAUCGUUGUAAGUAUGUGUGGUUUGGUGAUUUGGGAUAUCACUAGCGAAAACGGCGCUUUAAAGAACGCACGCAAUUGUCUAGUGGAUACGUCACCUUGGCGAACUUGACGCCCAAGAGCAUUGAUGUGGCUUUGUGACCGAGUGUUUGAUGGAAGGUUAUAUGGUGUGGAAUCAAUGAUCUAGAAUGGUUCAUCUAACAUGUGAUCGACUAGUUCGAUUGAUCAAUGAUUUAAUCAGAUUGUCGUGAUUCGAUUGAUUGUUCGUUAUGAUUUAUGAAGCGUUCGUAUAUAACCUUGAAUUGCAGGUUGAGACUGAGGCCAAGGUAAGUCCUCUGACUUGUGCUGUGCUUAGGCAACCAAGUAGUGUAUUGGUUCCCUAAUUGAGCCUUAGUGGGGUAGAACUCGCUGAGACGUUGUCUCAUCCCGGUUUGGGGAAAACAUUUCAGGACCCCGAUGAGGAGCUGAGGAGGAGGAAUCUAAGAAGGAGAACUUUGAGGUGAAAUCUGAGGAGAGGGAUUUUUGGAAAAAGAAGAUAAUACCGAGAAGGAUCAAAGUACGACCUCGAUGAACUGAGACUUUAUCUUCUUUUGAGAACUCCAUUUUGAUGUGAAUAGUUAUGAAGUACUCUGGUUUGUAUUUUGUAUAAAAGUUUGGUUAUAAGUUUCAAUAUGAAAAAUAUGGCCUUGCUUUUCUAUC